rnacentral:tRNA from 2 species
UUAUUUUGGCAGAUUAGUGUGUUUGAUUUAGAAUCAAUUUAAGUAAUAAUUAUUACAGAUAAUAA